CCUACGGGGGGGCAGCAGUGGGGAAUCUUAGACAAUGGGGGCAACCCUGAUCUAGCCAUGCCGCGUGAGUGAUGAAGGCCUUAGGGUUGUAAAGCUCUUUCAGCUGGGAAGAUAAUGACGGUACCAGCAGAAGAAGCCCCGGCUAACUCCGUGCCA
rnacentral:rRNA from 1 species